rnacentral:rRNA from 1 species
UACGAAGGGUGCUAGCGUUGUUCGGAAUCACUGGGCGUAAAGCGUGCGUAGGCGGCUUAACAAGUCAGGGGUGAAAUGCCAAGGCUUAACCUUGGAACUGCCUUUGAAACUGUUAAGCUGGAGUGUCGGAGGGGAUAGCGGAAUUUCUAAUGUAGCGGUGAAAUGCGUAGAUAUUAGAAGGAACACCGGUGGCGAAGGCGGCUAUCUGGACGACAACUGACGCUGAGGCACGAAAGCGUGGGGAUCAAACAGG